rnacentral:tRNA from 1 species
UGUUCUGUGGCUUAGUUGGUUAAAGCGCCGGUCUAGGGAGUCGUGGGCUUGAAUCCCACCAGAACGC